GCACAAGCGGUGGAGCAUGUGGUUAAUUCGACGCAACGCGAAGAACCUUACCUGGGCUUGACAUCCCGAUCGCACCUUAUGGAAACAUAGGGGUCAGUUCGGCUGGAUCGGUGACAGGUGCUGCAUGGCUGUCGUCAGCUCGUGUCGUGAGAUGUUGGGUUAAGUCCCGCAACGAGCGCAACCCUUGUCCUUAGUUGCCAGCAUUCAGUUGGGCACUCUAAGGAGACUGCCGGUGUCAAACCGGAGGAAGGUGGGGAUGACGUCAAGUCCUCAUGGCCCUUAUGUCCAGGGCUACACACGUGCUACAAUGGCCGGUACAAAGGGGCGCAAGACCGCGAGGUGGAGCAAAUCCCAAAAAACCGGUCUCAGUUCGGAUUGGAGUCUGCAACUCGACUCCAUGAAGUUGGAAUCGCUAGUAAUCGCGUAUCAGCAUGACCGCGGUCGAAUACGUUCCCGGGCCUU
rnacentral:rRNA from 1 species